CAACCUGCCGAUAACUCCGGGAUAGCCUUUCGAAAGAAAGAUUAAUACCGGAUGGCAUACGAAUAUCGCAUGAUAUUUUUAUUAAAGAAUUUCGGUUAUCGAUGGGGAUGCGUUCCAUUAGUUUGUUGGCGGGGUAACGGCCCACCAAGACUACGAUGGAUAGGGGUUCUGAGAGGAAGGUCCCCCACAUUGGAACUGAGACACGGUCCAAACUCCUACGGGAGGCAGCAGUGAGGAAUAUUGGUCAAUGGGCGAGAGCCUGAACCAGCCAAGUAGCGUGAAGGAUGAAGGCUCUAUGGGUCGUAAACUUCUUUUAUAUGGGAAUAAAGUUUUCCACGUGUGGAAUUUUGUAUGUACCAUAUGAAUAAGGAUCGGCUAACUCCGUGCCAGCAGCCGCGGUAAUAGCGGAGGAUCCGAGCGUUAUCCGGAUUUAUUGGGUUUAAAGGGAGCGUAGGUGGAUUGUUAAGUCAGUUGUGAAAGUUUGCGGCUCAACCGUAAAAUUGCAGUUGAAACUGGCAGUCUUGAGUACAGUAGAGGUGGGCGGAAUUCGUGGUGUAGCGGUGAAAUGCUUAGAUAUCACGA
rnacentral:rRNA from 1 species